rnacentral:rRNA from 1 species
UACGAAGGGGGCUAGCGUUGCUCGGAAUCACUGGGCGUAAAGCGCACGUAGGCGGACUCUUAAGUCGGUGGUGAAAUCCUGGAGCUCAACUCCAGAACUGCCUUCGAUACUGGGAGUCUCGAGUCCGGGAGAGGUGAGUGGAACUGCGAGUGUAGAGGUGAAAUUCGUAGAUAUUCGCAAGAACACCAGCGGCGAAGGCGGCAUCCUGGCCCUGUACUGACGCUGAGGCGCGAUAGCGUGGGGAGCAAACGGG